rnacentral:rRNA from 1 species
GACGAACGCUGGCGGCGUGCCUAAUACAUGCAAGUCGAACGGUUUAGUUCCAAGAGGCUUGCCUUUUGGAACUAGACAGUGGCGGACGGGUGAGUAACACGUAGGCAACCUACCUGUCAAACCGGGAUAACCUCGGGAAACCGAAGCUAAACCCGGAUAAGCUCCUUUUUCGCAUGAAGUGGGAGUGAAAUGGUGCGACCUGAUGACAGAUGGGCCUGCGGCGCAUUAGCUAGUAGGUAGGGUAACGGCCUAGCUAGGCGAUGAUGCGUAGCCGACCUGAGAGGGCGUAACGCCACACUGGGACUGAGGUCCGGCCCAGACUCCUACGGGGGGCAGCAGUAGGGAAUCUUAGGCAAUGGGGGAAAGCCUGACCGAGCAACGCCGGGUGAGUGAGGAAGGCCUUCGGGUUGUAAAACUCUGUUGUUUGGAAAGAAGGGAAAGGGUAGGACCCUUAGGUGACGGUACCAAAAGAGAAAGCCCCGGCUAACUACGUG